rnacentral:rRNA from 1 species
AGUGAACGCUGGCGGUAGGCUUAACACAUGCAAGUCGAACGGCAGCACAGUAAGAGCUUGCUCUUCCGGGUGGCGAGUGGCGGACGGGUGAGGAAUAUAUCGGAAUCUACUUUUUCGUGGGGGAUAACGUAGGGAAACUUACGCUAAUACCGCAUACGCCCUACGGGUGUAAGCAGGGGAUCUUCGGACCUUGCGCGGUUGAAUGAGCCGAUGUCGGGUUUGCUAGUUGGCGGGGUAAAGGCCCACCAAGGCGACGAUCCGUAGCUGGUCUGAGAGGAUGGUCGUCGACACUGGAGGUGAGACACGUUCACGAGUCCUACGGGAGGGACCAGUGGGGUAUAGUGGGCAAUAGGGGCAACCCUGAUGCACUCGUACCGCGUGUGUGGAGGAACCACUCGGGUUGUAAAGCCGGUUUGUUGGGAGUAAAAAGCAGCAGGUUAUUACCCCGCUGCUCUGACGGUACUCGAAGAAGAAGCACCGGCUAACUUCGUG